GAUGAACGCUGGCGGCGUGCCUAAUACAUGCAAGUCGAGCGAACGGACGAGAAGCUUGCUUCUCUGAUGUUAGCGGCGGACGGGUGAGUAACACGUGGAUAACCUACCUAUAAGACUGGGAUAACUUCGGGAAACCGUAGCUAAUACCGGAUAAUAUUUUGAACCGCAUGGUUCAAAAGUGAAAGACGGUCUUGCUGUCACUUAUAGAUGGAUCCGCGCUGCAUUAGCUAGUUGGUAAGGUAACGGCUUACCAAGGCAACGAUGCAUAGCCGACCCGAGAGGGUGAUCGGCCACACUGGAACUGAGACACGGUCCAGACUCCUACGGGAGGCAGCAGUAGGGAAUCUUCCGCAAAGGGCGAAAGCCUGACGGAGCAACGCCGCGUGAGUGAUGAAGGUCUUCGGAUCGUAAAACUCUGUUAUUAGGGAAGAACAUAUGUGUAAGUAACUGUGCACAUCUUGACGGUACCUAAUCAGAAAGCCACGGCUAACUACGUG
rnacentral:rRNA from 1 species